rnacentral:rRNA from 1 species
AUGCCGCAGCCGGGUAACACCACCACCGGUCACCACGGCCGCCUUCUUCACUCCCCGGCGUUGGUUGCGGACUGGAGAUGGCAACAGCGUCGGCGCGGCGGGCGGCAUCGUGGCGGUGGAGGUGAGGCAGGGGCAGGCACGCGGGCCACGCGGGCCACGCGCCGCUGCUGCGCUCGCCGGCACUGGACCGAGGGCGGCAUGCUCCGCGACGUGCCCAUCGGCGGCGGCCGCAAGAACAGGCGCAACGGUUGUGGCAAGGGCGGCGCCAAGGCCCCCUCCCCGGCUCCCCCGUCACCACGGAGGUGUCUACUGCAGCUACCCAGGGCAGCGGUGCAGGCGCGCCGGCCGGCGCCGUUGACGGGUUCAUCCCAGCCGACUUCUUGA